AACGUAGGUGGCGAGCGUUAUCCGGAUUUACUGGGCGUAAAGGGUGUGCAGGCGGGCUGUUAAGUGGUGUAUGAAAUAUCCCGGCUCAACCGGGAGAGGUUAUGCCAGACUGGCAGUCUAGAGAGCGAGAGAGGGACGUGGAAUUCCGGGUGUAGUGGUGAAAUUCGUAGAUAUCGGGAGGAACACCGGUGGCGAAGGCGGCGACCUGGGUAGAUACUGACGCUGAGGUGCGAAAGCGUGGGGAGCGAACAGG
rnacentral:rRNA from 1 species